rnacentral:tRNA from 1 species
AGGGGUGUGGCUCAGUGGUAGAACAUCUGCUUGGCAUGUAGAAAGUCCCAAGUUCUAUCCCCGGCAUCUCCA